rnacentral:ncRNA from 1 species
AUUAUGGAGAGUUUGAUCCUGGCUCAGAACGAACGCUGGCGGCGCGUCUUAAGCAUGCAAGUCGAACGGGAUUACAGGAGCUUGCUUCUGUAUGAGAGUGGCGGACUGGUGAGUAACACGUGGGUGACAUGCCUUUUAGUUGGGGAUAGCUGCUGGAAACAGUAGAUAAUACCGAAUAAGUUCUCUUGCGUUAGAGGUAAGAGAGGAAAGGAGCUAAGGCUCCGCUGAAAGAUUGGCCCGCGGUCCAUUAGCUAGUUGGUGAGGUAACUG